GAAGGUGAAAUUUUGUUGAUAAGGUGAAAUUUUUAAUGCAAGGGAAAUUCUUAAAAAAUCUGUUGAGACUAAAAAAUUUAGGUAAAAAACCAGGAUUAGAUACCCUGUUAUUCUAAAUAAUAAUGUAAAUAGGGUAGUAAAAGUUGUUCUUCAAACCCAAAGAUUUUGGCGGCAUCUUAUCCUAAUAGAGGAGCUUGUCCUAUAAUUGAUAGUCCCCAUUUUAUCUUACCCUUUUUUGUUAAGCUUGUAUACCGCCGUUGUCAGAUUACUUUAAAAGAACGUUUUCAGGAAAAAUAUUUUUCUUACUUCAGGUCAAGGUGCAGUUUAUAGAAGGGCAGUGAUGAGCUACAAUUUUUAAUAGAAAUACGGAUUUUAGGCUUAAAACUCAGGUGAAGGUGGAUUUAUUAGUAAAUUUACUUAAGUACAGUAAGUUGAAUAAGGCAAUAGGAUGUGCACAUAUCGCCCGUCACUCUCUUCUCAAGGGAGAUAA
rnacentral:rRNA from 1 species